CACACACGGCACAAGAUGGCCGGAGAGGCAGCAGCACUGCGAGCUGUCAGGCGUUCCUCCGCGGCCGCGGUGCCCGCCGGUCGGCGGGGAGCUGCGCCCGGGAGGCCCGCAGGCUCGCGGGAACCCAGCGGCUGCGGAUGGGGCUAGGCGGGCCGCGGGUCGGGCUGGGAGCCCCCGGCAGAGACGCCCGGGGCAGCCGGGCCCACGACGGGGAAAGCGCCGCUGCGGCAGCGGCUGCGGAGGCUCCUCGGGGCCCCGGCGGCUCGACCUGGUACGGGCGGGAGGCUCGGGCAGGCGGCCCGGCGCGGGACUCGGGCGUGAGUGACCAAGGGGUGCUGACCGCGGCGCUCGGACCCGGCAACUUACAAGAUUAAAAUUAAAUUUGGUUGAUGAUGGUUCUGGACAAAUACAGCUCUUUUAUUUGAGGUAUGCCAUUUUGAAGACAGACCCGUGGAAUUUUAUCCUUGAGGAUAGGGGAAAUCUUUGUGAAAGUCUGUAUUUUAUAAAGCAACAAUAUGAAUCCUGAGGCUGAAUUGUCUAAGGGGCCUGUACAGCGAAAUAGAUAGAGGUAUAAAUGGAUGGAAGGAAACUCACAUUUGAACAUUCUUCUAAUACUGCACCCUAGCUGUUGGUAAGCUCCCCAUUUUUAUAAAUAAAGUUUUAUUGGAACACAGCUAAGCUCUUUCAUUUACGUAUUAGCUGUGUCUGCUUUCUGACUACAGCUGCAGAGAGUAGAUUUAGCUAAUGGCCACAAACCCUAACAUAUUUAGUUAUUUAGUAUUUUAACCUGUAAGGAAAUCUUGCCUAUCCUUUCCCUAGAUUCAUCCUUUUUGUCAACUUUAUGUAGAACUCAAAAGCACUUGGAUUCUCUUAAUAAUGGGGGUGUACCUUUUACUUUGUUAGUAUUUCAUUGUUAGAAUUCAAAUAACAUAAGUAAUCAUGAGCUUGGCUUAAACUCCAAAGCCCAACAAAGGUUCUUUCACACCAGCAUUAUGCUUUAAUAUUAGAAGAUUUGGGGAGUUCCCGGUGUGGCACAGUGGAAAUGAAUCAACUAGUAUAGUAUCCAUGAGGAUUUGGGUUCUAUCCCCGGCCUCACUCAGUGGAUUAAGGAUUUGGAGUUGCUGUGAGCUGUGGUGUAGGCCAGCAGCUGCAGCUCUGAUUCGACCCCUAGUCUAGGAACUUCCUUAUGACACAGGUAUGGCCCC
rnacentral:lncRNA from 1 species